GGAUGUGAAGGCGAUCUUGCUGCGACAUCUGUCACCCUACUGAUCACCAGCGUUGAUUUGCUUCCCGAAGUUGCAGGCUUGGUGGAAGAGGACAGACAGCCUUCCUUGAAUAGAGACGGACGGGUCCUGGGUUAAGGGUAUAUGAGUAGCUGCGCUACCCUGCUAGAACCUCCAAACAAGCUCUCAAGGUCUAUACAAGUGACAGUAGUUCUCUGUAAAUCACAUACUCAGUAAAGUGAAUAGUUAACAAAAAGAACCAUACUU
rnacentral:snRNA from 1 species